rnacentral:rRNA from 1 species
UUUGGGCAAGAAGACCCUAUGAAUUUUAAAAAUUUCAAUAAAAUGCUGUAUUUUAUUGAAAUUUUUUAAUUGGGGCGAUUAUUAAAUAUUAAAAACUUUAAUUUUUUUAAAAAAGAACCAAUAAUAUUGGUUAUUUGAAAAAAUACUCUAGGGAUAACAGCGUAAUAAUUUUUGAUAGUUCUUAUAGACAAAAUAGUUUGCGACCUCGAUGUUGGAUUAGGAUUCUUUUUUAAUGAAGAAGUUAAAAAAAGAAGUUUGUUCAACUUUUAAAAUCCUACUUGAUCUGAGUUCAGACCGG